rnacentral:rRNA from 1 species
CUACGGGAGGCAGCAGUAGGGAAUCUUCCGCAAUGGGCGAAAGCCUGACGGAGCAACGCCGCGUGAGUGAUGAAGGUCUUCGGAUCGUAAAACUCUGUUAUUAGGGAAGAACAUAUGUGUAAGUAACUGUGCACAUCUUGACGGUACCUAAUCAAAAAGCCACGGCUAACUACGUGCCAGCAGCCGCGGUAAUACGUAGGUGGCAAGCGUUAUCCGGAAUUACUGGGCGUAAAGCGCGCGUAGGUGGUUUGUUAAGUCUGAUGUGAAAUCCCACGGCUCAACCGGGGAGGGUCAUUGGAAACUGGAAAACUUGAGUGCGGAAGAGGAAAGUGGAAUUCCAUGUGUAGCGGUGAAAUGCGCAGAGAUAUGGAGGAACACCAGUGGCGAAGGCGACUUUCUGGUCUGUAACUGACGCUGAUGUGCGAAAGCGUGGGGAUCAAACAGGAUUAGAUACCCUGGUAGUCC